rnacentral:rRNA from 1 species
UGGGGAAUUUUGGACAAUGGGCGAAAGCCUGAUCCAGCAAUGCCGCGUGUGUGAAGAAGGCCUUCGGGUUGUAAAGCACUUUUGUCCGGAAAGAAAUCCUUGGCUCUAAUACAGUCGGGGGAUGACGGUACCGGAAGAAUAAGCACCGGCUAACUACGUGCCAGCAGCCGCGGUAAUACGUAGGGUGCAAGCGUUAAUCGGAAUUACUGGGCGUAAAGCGUGCGCAGGCGGUUUGCUAAGACCGAUGUGAAAUCCCCGGGCUCAACCUGGGAACUGCAUUGGUGACUGGCAGGCUAGAGUAUGGCAGAGGGGGGUAGAAUUCCACGUGUAGCAGUGAAAUGCGUAGAGAUGUGGAGGAAUACCGAUGGCGAAGGCAGCCCCCUGGGCCAAUACUGACGCUCAUGCACGAAAGCGUGAGGAGCAAACAGGAUUAGAUACCCUGGUAGUCCACGCCCUAAACGAUGUCAACUAGUUGUUGGGGAUUCAUUUUCCUUAGUAACGUAGCUAACGCGUGAAGUUGACCGCCUGGGGAGUACGGUCGCAAGAUUAAAACUCAAAUGAAUUGACGGGGUCAUAGCUGUUUCCU